GGAGAAGAUUAGCAUGACCCCCGCGCAAGGAUGACACGCAAAUUCGUGAAGAAUUCCAAAUACCA
rnacentral:snRNA from 1 species